AGAAUCAACGCUGGCGGCGUGCCUCAGACAUGCAAGUCGAACGAUUAAAGCUCUCUUCGGAGAGUGUAUAGAGUGGCGCACGGGUGAGUAACACGUAAGUAAUCUACCUUCGAGUGGGGAAUAACGUCCGGAAACGGACGCUAAUACCGCAUAAUGCAGCGGCAUCGCAAGACUGACA
rnacentral:rRNA from 1 species